ACGGAAGGCAGCAGUGGGGAAUAUUGCACAAUGGGGGAAACCCUGAUGCAGCGACGCCGCGUGAGUGAAGAAGUAUUUCGGUAUGUAAAGCUCUAUCAGCAGGAAAGAAAAUGACGGUACCUGACUAAGAAGCCCCGGCUAACUACGUGCCAGCAGCCGCGGUAAUACGUAGGGGGCAAGCGUUAUCCGGAUUUACUGGGUGUAAAGGGAGCGUAGACGGCUUUGCAAGUCUGAAGUGAAAGCCCGGGGCUCAAACCCGGAACUGCUUUGGAAACUGUAGAGCUAGAGUGCAGGAGAGGUAAGUGGAAUUCCUAGUGUAGCGGUGAAAUGCGUAGAUAUUAGGAGGAACACCAGUGGCGAAGGCGGCUUACUGGACUGUAACUGACGUUGAGGCUCGAAGGCGUGGGGAGCAAACAGGAUUAGAUACCCUGGUA
rnacentral:rRNA from 1 species